UACGAACCGUCCUAACGUUAUUCGGAAUUACUGGGCUUAAAGGGUGCGUAGGCGGCUCGGAAAGUUGGGUGUGAAAUCCCUCGGCUCAACCGAGGAAUUGCGCCCAAAACUACCGGGCUCGAGGGAGACAGAGGUGAGCGGAACUUAGGGUGGAGCGGUGAAAUGCGUUGAUAUCCUAAGGAACACCGGUGGCGAAAGCGGCUCACUGGGUCUUUUCUGACGCUGAGGCGCGAAAGCCAGGGGAG
rnacentral:rRNA from 1 species